rnacentral:rRNA from 1 species
AUGUGUGGUUUUCAAGGGAAGGGGCAAGGGUUCUUCUAUAUUCCUGAUCAUAGUGUUGAGAAGCAGAAUAGAGAGAGGAUUUUUAAUGUGAUUGUCACCAUUACAGAAGGUUCUGCCUCCACUAAGGAUGUUGAGCAUGAGUUGAGUGUGUAUGUGGGGCAAGGGUGGCGUUGCUCUACUAGGUUUUUCGCCCCCAAGAAAUUUGAAAUGAGAAUGCCAAAUCCUAGGGAAGUUGAGCGAGCCCUGUUUGUGGAACAUGUCAAGAUUAAGAAGUGUGGGGUGUCAGUCAAAUUUUCGCCUUGGUCUGAAAACAUUGACUCUGAAGGUCUCUUGGAAACUGCUUGGGUGAGAAUUGGGAGGAUCCCACCAAACAAAAGGUGUGACAAAACUGUGGCAUAUGUUGGAGGAUUAGUAGGAAUUACGCUGGAGGUGGAUAUGGCUACCAUAAACAGAUCCUCUUCGGCCUGUGCCAAGAUUGGAUGUCACUCAGUUGAUCAGCUGCCUGCCACAGCGGAAGGAGUGUUGGGAGGGCGCUUCUAUAAGUUUACCUAUGAAGUGGAAGAGAUUUUGGUAUGGAAUCCUGCUGAGGAGUAG